rnacentral:rRNA from 1 species
AGAGUUUGAUCCUGGCUCAGGACGAACGCUGGCGGCGUGCUUAACACAUGCAAGUCGAACGGAGCCCAUCCGGUGGCAACACUGGUGAAGACUCAGUGGCGAACGGGUGCGGAACACGUGAGCAACCUGCCCCAAAGACCGGGAUAACACCGGGAAACUGGUGCUAAUACCGGAUACCCCCACGAGCUCGCAUGGGCUUGUGAGGAAAGGGUUUCCGCUUUGGGAGGGGCUCGCGGCCUAUCAGCUUGUUGGUGAGGUAACGGCUCACCAAGGCGACGACGGGUAGCUGGUCUGAGAGGACGAUCAGCCACACUGGGACUGAGACACGGCCCAGACUCCUACGGGAGGCAGCAGUGGGGAAUCUUGCGCAAUGGGCGAAAGCCUGACGCAGCAACGCCGCGUGGGGGAUGAAGGCCUUCGGGUUGUAAACCCCUUUCAGUGGGAACGAAAUUGACGGUACCCACAGAAGAAGCCCCGGCCAACUACGUGCCAGCAGCCGCGGUGAUACGUAGGGGGCGAGCGUUGUCCGGAUUUAUUGGGCGUAAAGAGCUCGUAGGCGGCUUGGUAAGUCGGGUGUGAAACCUCCAGGCUCAACCUGGAGACGCCACUCGAUACUGCCCUGGCUAGAGUCCGGUAGGGGAUCACGGAAUUCCUGGUGUAGCGGUGAAAUGCGCAGAUAUCAGGAGGAACACCAGUGGCGAAGGCGGUGAUCUGGGCCGGUACUGACGCUGAGGAGCGAAAGCGUGGGGAGCGAACAGGAUUAGAUACCCUGGUAGUCCACGCCGUAAACGUUGGGCACUAGGUGUGGGGCCUUAUCGACGGGUUCCGUGCCGCAGCUAACGCAU